GAAGGCCUCCCUGGAGAGCCCCUCUCCCUCUCAUCCACACUCAGCCCAGAGGGCCCUCUGCCCACACCGCCCCCACCAUGAGCCCCUGCCUCCUGGGCUGUGUGGUCUUCUGUCUCCUGCAGGCAGGGGCAGUCCAUGCUGGUGUCUCUCAGGACCCCAGAUUCCAGGUGGUGAGAACAGGACAGAAUGCAACACUGAAAUGUACUCAGGAUCUGGGUCAUGACGGCAUGUACUGGUACCAAGACCUGGGACACGGGCUGAGGCUGAUCCAUUACUCAGCUGGGCCUCCCAGCACAGAGAAAGGAGAUGUGCCCGAUGGGUACAGAGUUUCCAGAUCAAGCAAAGAGAACUUCCCUCUCACACUGGAGUCCGCCAGCCGCUCCCAGACAUCUGUGUACUUCUGUGCCAGCAGUUACUCCACGGCACUGCACGGCCACCUCCUCUCUGUGCAAAAAGGCAGAUGAAGGCCCCAUGCAGGCUCCUAGCACCGGGAGCCUUAGGGCUUUGCAGACCAUGUGUCUGCAGUGUGUCCCUGGGUGUGUGGACUCGGUUGGCCUGAGCCUCACUCCCGGGCCUCGAGGCCAUGUGUCCUCCAUUGAUCUCUGUC